GAGUUUCCCAAAAUACCACGUAAACACAUAUCAGCCACUCAAGGAUGUAACUCUAUUGACCCUCUGGUCGAAUAUCUCUAUGGGACCCUCUUGGUACCAUAACUCUGUGGACCCAUUGGUCCUAACUCUGUAAACUCUGAAUCAUGCAUAUCUCAUAUCACAAUAAAUCACAACACAUAAUAACAUGCAAAUACACUGGCAUAUAACUCUAAAAUACUAUGUCACAUAACUCUGUUACCACACUAGGUAAAGUAUAGUGAGAAGACUCACCUUAGAUGUCUCGGUAAAUCUCUGACUUGGUGGAAAUAUGAUCUAGCCUCCGCCUAAUCACAUAAAGUAAAUAUUUUCAUAAAUAUAACUCUCGGGACUAGACUCAACCCUCUCUAGGCACCCUCAGCAGGCAAAAGACCAUUUUACCCCUCUUUUAGCUCAAAGGCCACAUUGUUGACCAAACCCUAAAAGUCAACCAAAGUCAACGGUCAAACUUUGACCCGACUCGUCGAGUUCACUUGGGCGACUCGGCGAGUCUACACAUGUCCACUAACUNCGCCGAGUCUCAAGAACAACUCGGCGAGUUCCGCCUUGAACUCCAGUCCCCUAAUCCCCCUUUGACUCACUGAGUUAUUUACGGGAAACCCUAACCCUACUCGCCGAGUCUGAUCUUUGGACUCGACGAGUUCAUGCCAUGCACAAACUCCAUAAACCUCCUGAGUUCAGAUAUGUUCCUUUAAUCCAUAGAUCUGACCUUCCCAAGCAUGAUAAUCACGUAAAGUUCAGACCUUGACACUCAUAUAACAUCUAGAUGGUCUCACUUGGUGAUUUAGCCCCAAAAAUAACAUCCUAAGUUCAUGGCUCCCAAAAUAACUCAUAAAGCUCCAAGGGUUAAGGUCUCUGGACCUCUUUGAGUCCAGAUCCAAAGCAUAAACUCGAGAAGGGACCAAUUGCUCCACAUAUUCAUCCUCUAAAGGGGUUAGAAAACCCUAACUCUAAGAAUCAACACCAAAUAUGAAGAAGGUCCGAAUAAAUACCUCAAGAUGAAGUCUCUGAACUCUAAAAUCACCAGAAUCGCACCUCCUUCAGCCUCCUCUUGCCUUGGUCACCUUCUUCUUGCAAUUACACCAACAAAAUGAUCAAGAAUGGACUCUCCUUCCUUACAAACGUUCUAAAUCUCUUAGGGUUUCUCUCUAGGGUUUGGUAGCCGCAAAUGACGGCCCUAAGGGCCUUUAAAUAGGUCCCAAACCCAGGAAAUUAGGGUUUCAUUAAACAGCGUGGACUCGCCGAGUCCACUCAUGAACUCGUCAAGUCCAGCUGUGAACCUGGAUAUGAAUCCGCGACCAUACUCGGCGAGUCUGAACACCAACUCGUUGAGUCCCCUCCCAACCUCCAAAAAUAAAGAAACAAAUAAUAUACCUGGGAAUCCGGGUGUUACAAUUCUCCCCCACUAGAAUUAGACUUCGCCCUCGAAGUCUCACUCUGCAAACAAUUCUGGAUGUUGCUCCCACAUCUCACGCUCCGGCUCCCAAGUCAACUCUGACCCUUUUCGAUGCUGCCACUGGACCUGCACCAGAGGCACUUCCUUGUUCCUCAAAACCUUGAUCUUCNAAUCGCCACCGGUCUCUCAAUAUAGUUUAGGCUCGCAUCCACCUGAAUAUCUUCUAAUGGCACCACUGCCGACUCGUCGGCUAUACACUUUCUCAGCUGCGACACGUGGAAAGUGUCAUGAAUCUGACCCAACUCGGAAGGUAACUCCAAACGGUAGGCUACCUUGCCUACUCUUGCGGUCACUCUGAAAGGACCAAUAUAUCGGGGCCCCAACUUGCCCCUCUUCUAGAAUCGAAUCACUCCUUUCCAAGGAGAGACCUUCAGGAGCACGAAGUCGCCGACCUGAAACUCGAGCUCGGACCGGCGCCUGUCCGCAUAACUCUUCUGACGACUCUGAGCGGUCAACAACCUCUAUCUGACCUGCUGAAUCUGCUCUGUCGUCUGAAGCAUGAUCUCAGUACUACCCAUCACACGUUGCCCUAUCUCUCCCCAACAAAUGGGGGUGCGACACCUCCUCCUAUACAACAGCUCAAACGGUGGCAUACCAAUGCUCGAAUGAUGGUUGUUGUUGUUGGAAAACUCUGCCAAGGGCAAGCACGUGUCCCAACUUCCGCCGAAAUCCAACACACAUGCUCGGAGCAUGUCCUCGAGCGUCUGAAUUGUCCGCUCACUCUACAUGUCAGUCUGUGGGUGGUAUGCGGUACUAAAAUGCAGUCUCGUACCUAAUUCCUCAUGAAACUUCUUCUAGAAUCUGGAAGUGAAACAUACAUCUCGAUCUGAGACAAUCGAGAUCGGCACUCCAUGUCGCGAUACCACCUCUCUCACGUACAUCUCUGCCAACCUCUCCGCGAAAGAGCUCUCACUGAUAGCAAGGAAAUGAGCGCUCUUCGUCAACCUGUCCAUAAUCACCCAAAUUGCAUCGACACCUUUCGCAGUCCUUGGAAAUUUGGUGAUGAAAUCCAUGGUAAUCUGUUCCCAUUUCCACUCGGGAAUCUCUAACGGCUGCAGCUUACCAUGUGGACGCUGGUGCUCGGCCUUAACCCUACGACAGGUCAAGCAUCUCUCUACAAACCAUGCGACAUCCCUCUUCAUACUGGGCCACCAAUACUCCCUCUUCAGGUUAAAAUACAUCUGAGUGGCCCCAGGAUGGAUCGAGAACUUCGAUCGAUGAGACUCUUCCAUCAAAAUGGUACGCGUCCCGCCCACAAACGAUACCCAUAUCCGACCCUGAAAUGUCAUAAGCCCCCGGCUAUCGGUAACGAAUUCCGAUACCAGCCCGACAACUCGCUCUCCCUUCUGGCUUUCUGGCCUCACAGCCUCAACCUGGACCCCACGAAUAGUGUCCAACACCGGAUUCAUCACUGUCAAUCUCAAACAAACAUUUUACAUCGGGGCGCCCUCCGCCCUACGGCUCAGUGCAUCGGCUACAACAUUAGCCUUGCCCGGGUGGUACAGGAUCUCACAAUCGUAAUCCUUCACCACAUCCAACCAUCUCCUCUGGCGCAUAUUCAGGUUGGGCUGAUCCAUUAGAUACUUCAGGCUCUUGUGGUUCGUGUAUAUGGUACACCGAACCCCAUACAGAUAGUGACGCCAGAUCUUCAGGGCGAACACCACCACCCCCAACUCCAGAUCGCGGGUGGGAUACCUCAUCUCAUGAGGCUUCAGCUGCCUCGAUGCGUAUGCUAUCACAUGACCCCUCUGCAUAAGCACCGCUCCCAGCCCAGAUAUCGACGCGUCACAAUACACUACGAAGUCCUACAUCCCCUCCGGAAGGGCUAACACUGGAGCUUCGCAUAAUCUCUGGCGAAGUGUCUCGAAGGAGGCCUGCUGCUCUGGACCCCAUGAAAAAGCAACACCCUUCCGGGUCAACUUGGUGAGUGGCACGACGAUCUUGGAGAAAUCCCUGAUAAAUCUCCGAUAAUAACCAGCCAACCCUAGGAAACUCCUGAUCUCGGUAGGUGACCUCGGCACCUCCCAACUCAUCACUGCCUCAAUCUUGUCCGGGUCGACCAAUAUCCCUUUCUUGUUAAUGAUGUGCCCUAGGAACUGGACCUCUCGCAACCAAAAAUCACACUUGGAGAAUUUGGCAUAAAUCCUCUCCGAUCUCAGAACUCCGAGGAUCUCCCUCAAAUGCUCCUCAUGCUGCUCUCUGGAUCUCGAAUACACCAAUAUGUCGUCGAUGAACACGAUCACCGAGCGAUCCAACAUCGGCCUGCACACUCUAUUCAUGAGAUCCAUGAACACCGUCGGUGCAUUGGUGAGUCCGAAAGGCAUCACCACGAACUCGUAAUGUCCAUAACGAGUCUUGAAUGCUGUCUUUUGGAUGUCCUCGUCUCGCACCCUCACCUGGUGAUAUCCAGACCUCAAAUCGAUCUUGGAGAACCAAGAUGCUCCAUGCAACUGAUCGAACAGAUCGUCGAUCCUCGACAACGGGUAACGGUUCUUGACCGUUAGCUUGUUCAACUCCCGGUAAUCAAUGCACAUCCGAUGUGAACCAUCCUUAUUCUUGACAAAAAGGAUAGGCGCUCCCCAAGGUGAGCCGCUCGGCCGAAUAAACCCUUUCCCCAGCAGCUCCUGAAGCUGCGAGGACAACUCCUGCAUCUCUGGAGGCGCGAGGCGAUAAGGCGCCUUGGCGAUAGGCGCAACCCCAAGAACCAAAUCAAUACUGAACUCAAACUGCCUCUCGGGAGGCACACCUGGCAACUCUUCCGGAAAUACAUCCGGAAACUCGCGCACUAUCGGAACCUCAUCAACUGACCUCAGAUCACCUCGGCAGCAUACACCGUCCUCUCGUCAGCUAUGGAAACUCUCAGAGGUCGACUCAAUGCCUCUCGGCUAAUACUGAUGUGCUCACUAAAAGCCAAAGAUACAAAAGACCGACUUGCACCCGAGUCAAAUAACACCAAGGCAGGUACAUAAUUCACAAGAAAAGUACCUACGCAUAACACGAAAUAAACACAAUAUCCCAACAUCGAAAUAAAUACAAGAAAGGAUACAUACCAGCCACGACGUCGGGCGCAACGCGGACCUCCUCCGCAGUCAACUGAAAGGCUCUCCCUCGUGCCUUCGGUACCUCGGCCUUCACUGGCCGGCUCUUAGCAGCUCUGAUAGCAGCAGGGGCAGAUGCCUGAGGUGCUCCCUGGGCUGUCCCUCGCAACUGUGGACACUCUGCCUUGCGGUGUCCGGUCUGGUUGCAGUGGAAACAUACUGCAAACCCCUUGGGGCAAUCCUUGGCCAUAUGCCCCUCCUUUCCAUAUUUGUAGCAAGAUCCCACUCUGCACACCCCCAUCGUGGCUCUUGCCGCACUUACCACAAGUGCGGCCCUUCUGACUCCCAUAUCUCGAAUCAACAGGCUUGGCCUGCUUGGCUGCCGGAUGAGACUGCGCCGGUCGCCGAUCCCUCCCCUGAGACUCAGCCUCCUCCCUAGCUUGAGUCUCUAGCUCUAUCUCCCUCUUCCGUGCAUUUGCCUGAAGCUCAGCAAAUGUCCAGUACAUUGAGUUCGCUAUGAACUCUCGUAUAUCCCUCCUCAAAAUGCUCAGAUAUCAGCUCAUACGUGCCUGCUCGGAGGACACGUGCUCUGGGCAGAACAUCGCCCUUUCAUGGAACAUUCGAUUAAUCGUCGUAAUAGACUCGGUACCCUGCUUGAGGGUCAGAAACUCCUGUGCCAAUCACUCCCUCUCCACCUGGGGAACGUACUCGUCUCGAAACAUAGCAGUGAACCUCUCCCAGGUUAAUACAGCAAGCUCAGUAGGCGUGUAGUGCGCCGUCACAAACUUCCACCAGUCCUUCGCUCCCAAGCGAAGCUGGUUCAGCACGAACCGGACUCUCAAAUGCUCAGGAGAUGAGCAAUUAAAGAAACACCCCUCCAUGUCUGAAAUCCACCUCAUCGCUGCAAUCGGGUCCUGGGUCCCAUCAAACUCCGCCGGCUUUGUGUUGCUGAACUCCCGGAACAACAACGCAUCACCACCCUGCGGUCUAGCCGCAGCUACAGCUGCNAGUGGCCGCAACAACAGCCGCAUCAGAAAGAGCAGCGUAUCUCUCGUCAAUUGUCUCUAUCAGGGUGGUCUUGAUAGACCCAAACAUCUCUGGGAUCUCAGCGUGUAUGGCAGCAGCCACCUCAUCAUGAAUCAUCUGGCGGAGCUCCUCGUCACUCACACCCCCUCCACUGGUCCCUGGUCUGUGGCGCAUUCCCACCAUGAUACCUCUCUGAAAUACAACACAAGAUAUCAAAGACUCGCUCGAGCGUGCAUACACUCGAUACCCCUAAUCCUACUUGGUUCCUGGUACCCUAAGGAUUCUUACUUGGGUUGCGCAUUGAUCCGGUGCCUUCGGUAGUACGGGCCCAAUACUACCAACCACACCAACUCAGUAUUCAUUCCAAGUCCUCCUCCCAGAGUCCCAAAUUUUCAAGCACUCUACUAUCUUAAUCAUGUGCUACUCACUAGCAGAUAACUCAUAAGCACCUCGCUGCUAUCUAAACACUCUCAAGCAUUGCUAGCAGCAAAAACCCCUAGACUAAGGCAUCAUAUAUCAGGCCACUCUAGUCCUAAUAAGAAUACCUAGUCUACUCUAGCAUGCAUAUCAUAAUUCAUCAUAUAGCAUAACAUAACAUAUCUGAUAGCACUUAUUGUAAGGGUAUUUUGGGAAAUCACCGUUCGGGCGCUGGUUGAUCGUAUACACGACUCUGCUCUGUUUGUCUCAAACUCUUUUUACUCUUUUCAAAAAUUUUACCUUAUUAUCAAAAUUUUCCUCAAAUCCUCAGUUUGAGUUCAGAUACGCCCGAAGAUGCAUCCGAAUCCCUCAAACCAAGGCUCUGAUACGAACUUGUAACACCGUAAAAAUUUAAACAAUUUUUCACAUUUUUGAAAACCAUAUAAUUUCAUUCACAUCCACAUUUUAAAACAUUUUAUCAUCAUUAUCUAAAUACAAAACACCAAGAUCAAAACAUAUGAACUCCAGUGUGCAUGUGUACGAGUCAUUCCGGCGCCUUCCCGCAAUCAUCGCUGGUACCUGCAACACCACACAUAACACUGUAAGCAUAAUUGCUUAGCGAGUUCCCCAAAAUACCACGUAAACACAUAUCAGCCACUCAAGGAUGUAACUCUAUUGACCCUCUGGUCGAAUACCUCUGUGGGACCCUCUUGGUACCAUAACUCUGUGGAACCACUGGUCCUAACUCUGUAAACUCUGAAUCAUGCAUAUCUCAUAUCACAAUAAAUCACAACACAUAAUAACAUGCAAAUACACUCGCAUAUAACUCUAAAAUACUCUGUCACAUAACUCUGUUACCACACUAGGUAAAGUAUAGUGAG
rnacentral:lncRNA from 1 species